rnacentral:lncRNA from 1 species
AAUUUUUUUAUUUCUGAGCUGCAUUUGGGAUUACUCUGGGACUUAAUUGUGUCUUUAAACAUGAUUUAGAAUUUAUAGGAUAUCUAGAGAGGAGAACUUUGCUUUUGAAACUUGGUCUGACUGUUGUGAGAGCCCUAGACGAUAAGACUUAGCGAGCGAAAACCAUAACUUGAAAUUGACCGUCAUUGCACUCGUGAAUCUUGGUUUAAAUUGUUUACACUUUGAAUUCUCAAAUCGGGUUUUCGAAACUUGGCCUCUUUUGAUAAGUGUUUUUGAGAGCAAUNNN